AGUGAACGCUGGCGGUAGGCCUAACACAUGCAAGUCGAACGGCAGCACAGUAAGAGCUUGCUCUUACGGGUGGCGAGUGGCGGACGGGUGAGGAAUACAUCGGAAUCUACUUUUUCGUGGGGAUAACGUAGGUAAACUUACGCUAAUACCGCAUACGACCUACGGGUGAAAGCAGGGGAUCUUCGGACCUUGCGCGAUUGAAUGAGCCGAUGUCGGAUUAGCUAGUUGGCGGGGUAAAGGCCCACCAAGGCGACGAUCCGUAGCUGGUCUGAGAGGAUGAUCGGCCACACUGGAACUGAGACACGGUCCAGACUCCUACGGGAGGCAGCAGUGGGGAAUAUUGGACAAUGGGCGCAAGCCUGAUCCAGCCAUACCGCGUGGGUGAAGAAGGCCUUCGGGUUGUAAAGCCCUUUUGUUGGGAAAGAAAAGCAGCAGGUUAAUACCCCGCUGUUCUGACGGUACCCAAAGAAUAAGCACCGGCUAACUUCGUG
rnacentral:rRNA from 1 species